rnacentral:rRNA from 1 species
GACGGAGGAUGCAAGUGUUAUCCGGAAUUACUGGGCGUAAAGCGUGCGCAGGCGGUUCGUUGUGUCGGCGGUGAAAGCCCCGGGCUCAACCUGGGAAUGGCCGUUGAAACUGGCGAACUGGAGUGUGGCAGAGGGGGGUGGAAUUCCGCGUGUAGCAGUGAAAUGCGUAGAGAUGCGGAGGAACACCGAUGGCGAAGGCAGCCCCCUGGGCUAACACUGACGCUCAGGCACGAAAGCGUGGGGAGCAAACAGG